rnacentral:rRNA from 1 species
CCUACGGGUGGCUGCAGUGAGGAAUAUUGGUCAAUGGGCGCGAGCCUGAACCAGCCAAGUCGCGUGAGGGAAGACGGCCCUACGGGUUGUAAACCUCUUUUGCCGGGGAGCAACGGGCGCCACGUGUGGCGCCACUGAGAGUACCCGGAGAAAAAGCAUCGGCUAACUCCGUGCCAGCAGCCGCGGUAAUACGGAGGAUGCGAGCGUUAUCCGGAUUUAUUGGGUGUAAAGGGCGUGUAGCCGGGCUGACAAGUCAGAUGUGAAAUCCGGGGGCUCAACCCCCGAACUGCAUUUGAAACUGUUGGUCUUGAGUAUCGGAGAGGCAGGCGGAAUUCCUAGUGUAGCGGUGAAAUGCGAAGAUAUUAGGAGGAACACCAGUGGCGAAGGCGGCCUGCUGGACGACAACUGACGGUGAGGCGCGAAAGCGUGGGGAGCAAACAGGAUUAGAUACCCUUGUAGUC